CGCCGCGGCUGCCUAUCACGCCUUCUUUCAGCAGCAGUAAAACUCACCUCUUAAAACCUCCGCUUGGGUCCCUAAUAUUUGCCUGGCUAUAUAUCUCCGGUGAUAUAUGGACAGAAAUUGCUUGUAAACGGCUAUAAAACCUCUCAGUUGAGCUGGGGAGGAGGUGCGUGAGGUUGGGCAUGGCCCAAGCUGCAAGAGGAUUGGAAGCUGAGGCGCUGCACCAAGUACCCCAAACUCAACCCCAGAUCCCAGGGACGAGGGGAUACCACGGUCACUGUGUCGCGGAUGCGAAACCUGAGACUCACAGAGGUGCACACAAGGAGUUGUUUCCAGGGACCAAUUUCAGAGCUGGUGCCUUUCCACACAAGAGAAUGAAAUCCUGGCAACAGAGUCUCCGACAUGUCGCCAUAAAUUGUCUUCUGAGGAAGAAGCCAGAUCCAACAUCCAGUUCUAGCGGUGAAGCUUCUGAGAAGAGGCUGGAAUAACCAGGGUGGAAGGGACGCUGUAGAGGGUGGGGGCUCACUGAGUGACUUUGCAGGCUGGGCCAGUCUGGCUGCCUAUUGCAGACUCUCCUAGGUGGGCAGGCCUCUGGGUCAGGGCCAGGGAGGGGAUUUUCUGUAAUAUUACACAGUUGCUGCCCUGAUCAGGAACCCUUAUAGCAACAACAAGGGUUUACUGUAUAGCACAGGGAACUAUAUUCAACAUCUUGUAAUAAACUAUAAUGGAAAAGAA